rnacentral:misc_RNA from 1 species
ACAAACCAAACAAUGGAUAAACUUUACGUGAAGGGAAAUCGAUAG